rnacentral:rRNA from 1 species
CCUACGGGCGGCAGCAGUGGGGAAUAUUGGACAAUGGGCGAAAGCCUGAUCCAGCCAUGCCGCGUGUGUGAAGAAGGCCUUCGGGUUGUAAAGCACUUUCAGUGGGGAAGAAAGCCUUGGGGCUAAUACCCUCGAGGAAGGACAUCACCCACAGAAGAAGCACCGGCUAACUCCGUGCCAGCAGCCGCGGUAAUACGGAGGGUGCGAGCGUUAAUCGGAAUUACUGGGCGUAAAGCGCGCGUAGGCGGUCUGAUAAGCCGGUUGUGAAAGCCCCGGGCUCAACCUGGGAACGGCAUCCGGAACUGUCAGACUAGAGUGCAGGAGAGGAAGGUAGAAUUCCCGGUGUAGCGGUGAAAUGCGUAGAGAUCGGGAGGAAUACCAGUGGCGAAGGCGGCCUUCUGGACUGACACUGACGCUGAGGUGCGAAAGCGUGGGUAGCAAACAGGAUUAGAUACCCUGGUAGUC